CGUGACUCGGAGCGAGGGUGGCGGGCAGUAUAAAAUGCCCAGUCCAGGCUUCGAGGGUGGUGGAGCACUGGAACAGCUCCCGGCGACGCAGUCACAGCACCAAGCCUGGAAAUAUUCCAGAAGCAUUUGGCCAAUGCCCUCAAGCCCACGGUGUGAAUGUUGGGGUGUCCUGUGCAGGGGCAGGAGUUGGACUCGAUGAUCCUUAUGGAGCCUCAGUGCCACAUGGCGAUGGCACAGGAUCAUUUUUGGAAGGCCAAUCCCAUGCUUAUCCUAGCAGUUGCAUCCUGUGACCUAGCUGGGCUCAUCCUCCACGCCAAGUUCCUCCCAGUCGCUGGGACAACGUCUUUGUGGAUUCCAGAGGUGAACUGUGAUCCAUGGAACACGUUAGUCUCCGUCUGCAGAGGGCUCUGGAUGGAGCUGGGAGCUGAAGGAAAGAGCUGAGGGCAUAAGGUUUCAGGAUGUGAAAAGACUUGAGGAAAGAUUUAUCCCUGCUGAUUGGAAGUGGGAGAAAGUUUUCCAGUCCCAGAUUUCCCCACCAACACCAGAGCCUGGCUGAGGGGUCCAUCACCAUCACAGAGCUGCUGAAGAUCGGUUCUUGUGCUGUGCGUAAAUGGGAAAAACGUUGACCUCAGGUGACAGCCUCAUGGAAUGGAACCUUUCCAGUCUGGGAACAGGUAGGAGUGACUGGAACCAAGAAGGAUCUGCAGGGAUGACGAUGUUAGUCCUCCAGUAACACCCAAGUCAUCACUGCGCUGAGAUGAGAUGGGCAGUUUUAGCUGGACAGAUUCCUCUAAGGCAGAUCAUAGAAUCACGAGGUUGGAAGGGACCCACUGGAUCAUCAAGUCCAACCAUUCCUAACACUCCCUUAAACCAUGUCCCUAAGCACAUAGUUUUUGUCCUACCAAUGAAACGGAGUCCUCAGUGUGGAGCAACUCAGAGAAACACUCCCAGAACUACAUUCAGGCAGUUUACACCUGCUGGGGAUCUCACUCUUGUCCUGGGAGAGAUGAUAGAAAUGAUGCUGUCCCUGCUCGGCAGCGAUUGAGCCUGGCUGUGAGUAGGAAACCGUCGCAGCAGUGCUUCCAGUUACCCAGCAUCUCUCUCCCACGCAUUCCUGCGCAUUGUGCACUGGCUUGGGAGCGUUAUGGGCCGGGAAACCUUUAGCGAUGCGUUAUUCAAAACACACUGGCUUUCCCUGUGAAGUUUCAGUUGUGGUUUGUAGGGCUGGGCUGAGAUUAUUGCAUUUAAAUUCAAGGCAGAUUUCAUUCACUCAUGGGGAAUGAAUGCUGGAUCCUUACUUCCCUGCUAGGAAAUAAGUCCUGGCCAAAUGGAUCUGCUCAGAGGCUCUGACCUCAGGUCACCUGCCUGCUUUUGGACUGCUCAGAAAACAGCUCUGCCCCUCAGCUGGACAGCCGUGUCCUCCAGAAACCUGCUGAGAUGUUGACAUGUUGCAUUCACAGUAGCUUCUGGCUGUGGGAGAAGGAUGGAAGACCGGUGAGGGAAUGCAGAGCUAAGGAGAGGUUUCUCCUGUGUACGAGUAGUCUCUGAUUUGGGCAGAGUGACAAAGGUCCAACCCUUCAACAGAAGGAACCACCACAAAGUCUGCUCCCUGUUCCCAUGGUCUACAUGACCAACAUGAGGCUCUCAGAGAUAAAAGCGUGGACUGGGACACCACCGUGCAAUCUAAUCCUGACCUUGCUUCAUUGUUUAAAUUGCUGAAGCCUUGAUGUGUGGUAGAGGCUGAGUAAACCUCAGAUCUGGUUGCAGCUGAAGCAGAAACCUCUGCGCAGGCAUUGACACCAGAUGGUCUCAGCUGGGUUGAUGUCCUGUGGCUGAGGAAAAGCAGUAUAGAAUCUGUCAUGUAGAUGUGGCCUCAGAGUCUCCAAAGGCGAGUAAAGGAACCUUGGUGUUUGAGCUGCCUAAAAUCAGACUGGGCUAACUUUUGGGGAGCCUGUGGGGCAAAAUCCUGCUGCCACGAUCCUGGGGUUUGCUGUUUGACAGCGAUGGGGAGAGGCCUUCCCUCGAACGCUCUGCAGUCACUCCAGUAUAAGGUUCAGGAGAGCUGAUGUUUGCUCCUGACUUUGACAAAUACAUCAGUAGGUUUGUACCCUCUGGAUCCUUAUCUUUACAAGGACAAGGAGAAACAGCUUUAAAUUGGAGUGGGGCAGGUUUAGACUAGACAUUGGGAAGAAAUUCUUCGCGAUGAGGGUGGGGAGGCCCUGGCCCAGGUUGCCCAGAGCAGUG